GACGAACGCUGGCGGCGUGCCUAAUACAUGCAAGUCGAGCGAACCAAUAAGAAGCUUGCUUUUUGUUGGUUAGCGGCGGACGGGUGAGUCACACGUGGGUAACCUGCCUGUAAGACCGGGAUAACUCCGGGAAACCGGUGCUAAUACCGGAUAGAUUAUCUUUCCGCAUGGAGAGAUAAGGAAAGAUGGCUAUUGCCAUCACUUACAGAUGGGCCCGCGGCGCAUUAGCUAGUUGGUGAGGUAACGGCUCACCAAGGCGACGAUGCGUAGCCGACCUGAGAGGGUGAUCGGCCACACUGGGACUGAGACACGGCCCAGACUCCUACGGGAGGCAGCAGUAGGGAAUCUUCCGCAAUGGACGAAAGUCUGACGGAGCAACGCCGCGUGAGCGAAGAAGGUCUUCGGAUCGUAAAGCUCUGUUGUUAGGGAAGAACAAGUAUCGGAGGAAAUGCCGGUACCUUGACGGUACCUGACGAGAAAGCCACGGCUAACUACGUG
rnacentral:rRNA from 1 species